GGCGGUCGGACUGCGCGGGUACUGGCGGGGCUACUUCGCCGGCCGGGCCGCGCCGCUCGGACCGACCGGUCCGGCUCCGGUGAUCGCCGCC
rnacentral:tRNA from 1 species